UACGUAGGUGGCAAGCGUUGUCCGGAUUUACUGGGCGUAAAGCGCGCGCAGGCGGACUGAUCAGUCUGGGGUGAAAUCUCCCGGCUCAACUGGGAGCGGUCCCUGGAUACUGUCAGUCUUGAGAGACCUAGAGGAGAGCGGAAUUCCCGGUGUAGUGGUGGAAUGCGUAGAUAUCGGGAAGAACACCAGUGGCGAAAGCGGCUCUCUGGGGGUUUUCUGACGCUGAGGCGCGAAAGCGUGGGGAGCGAACCGGAUUAGAUACCCGGGUAGUCCACGCCGUAAACGAUGAGUACUAGCUGUCGGGGGUAUCGACCCCUCCGGUAGCGCAGCUAACGCGAUAAGUACUCCGCCUGGGGACUACGACCGCAAGGUUAAA
rnacentral:rRNA from 1 species